GGAGAGAUGGCUGAGCGGUCGAAGGCGGCAGGCUGUAAACCUGUUUUUUAAUUAACACGUAGGUUCGAAUCCUACUCUCUUCA
rnacentral:tRNA from 2 species